AACGAACGCUGGCGGCAUGCCUAACACAUGCAAGUCGAACGAGACCUUCGGGUCUAGUGGCGCACGGGUGCGUAACGCGUGGGAACCUGCCCUUAGGUUCGGAAUAACUCCCCGAAAGGGGUGCUAAUACCGGAUAAUGUCUUCGGACCAAAGAUUUAUCGCCUUUGGAUGGGCCCGCGUUGGAUUAGCUAGUUGGUAGGGUAAAAGCCUACCAAGGCGACGAUCCAUAGCUGGUCUGAGAGGAUGAUCAGCCACACUGGGACUGAGACACGGCCGAGACUCCUACGGGAGGGAGCAGUGGGGAAUGUUGGACAAUGGGCGAAAGCCUGAUCCAGCAAGGCCGCGUGAGUGAUGAAGGCCGUAGGGUUGUAAAGCUCUUUUACCCGGGAUGAUAAUGACAGUACCGGGAGAAUAAGCUCCGGCUAACUCCGUG
rnacentral:rRNA from 1 species